UCGGGUGUGGUGUACGGUACACACUUCCUUCUCUUGCUGGGUGUGAAAAAAGAUGGAAUUGAAAGGGAGAGAACCGGGUUCGACUCCCGGCGCCCGAA